GGCGCUAUAGUGUAGUGGUUAUCACUCGGGAUUUUGAACUUGUGUCACGGUUGCCUUUGAAUUCCCGAAACCCAGGUUCGAACCCUGGUAGAGCCU